ACACCCCUCAAGCCCUGUGCUUGAUGUUGGAUGGCUCGGUCGAGUCCCCGACUCCGACCCCUCCUAAAGACAAUGACGGCGGCCCGUGGGACCCCCGGUACACUGAGCUUUCACUGAGCACGUAUCGGAUAAACAAGGGUGCCCGGGACCCGGUCUUCUCCUUUUAUUAGGAAUUUCUUCUAA
rnacentral:misc_RNA from 1 species